rnacentral:rRNA from 1 species
UAGGGGAUCUUCGGCAAUGGGGGGAACCCUGACCGAGCAACGCCGCGUGAGUGAAGAAGGUUUUCGGAUCGUAAAGCUCUGUUGUUAAGGAAGAACGAGUGUGAGAAUGGAAAGUUCAUACUGUGACGGUACUUAACCAGAAAGGGACGGCUAACUACGUGCCAGCAGCCGCGGUAAUACGUAGGUCCCGAGCGUUGUCCGGAUUUAUUGGGCGUAAAGCGAGCGCAGGCGGUUAGAUAAGUCUGAAGUUAAAGGCAGUGGCUCAACCAUUGUAGGCUUUGGAAACUGUUUAACUUGAGUGCAGAAGGGGAGAGUGGAAUUCCAUGUGUAGCGGUGAAAUGCGUAGAUAUAUGGAGGAACACCGGUGGCGAAAGCGGCUCUCUGGUCUGUAACUGACGCUGAGGCUCGAAAGCGUGGGGAGCGAACAGG